AUUGAACGCUGGCGGCAUGCCUUACACAUGCAAGUCGAACGGCAGCACGGGGCAACCUGGUGGCGAGUGGCGAACGGGUGAGUAAUGUAUCGGAACGUACCUUUCAGUGGGGGUUAACGUAGCGAAAGUUACGCUAAUACCGCAUAUUCUGUGAGCAGGAAAGCAGGGGAUCAUAGGACCUUGCGCUGAUUGAGCGGCCGAUAUCAGAUUAGCUAGUUGGUGAGGUAAAGGCUCACCAAGGCGACGAUCUGUAGCGGGUCUGAGAGGAUGAUCCGCCACACUGGAACUGAGACACGGUCCAGACUCCUACGGGAGGCAGCAGUGGGGAAUUUUGGGCAAUGGGCGCAAGCCUGAUCAGCCAUGCCGCGUGAGUGAAGAAGGCCUUCGGGUUGUAAAGCUCUUUCAGCCGGGAAGAAAACGCAUGGGUUAAUACCCUGUGUGGAUGACGGUACCGGAAUAAGAAGCACCGGCUAACUACGUGCCAGCAGCCGCAGUAAUAC
rnacentral:rRNA from 1 species